GAGACCAUACACUGAGGCAGGAAGCCCGGGCGGAGCAGAGAACCAGGGUGGAACCGGUAGUACAGGUGGAGCAGAUGACCACCACAACAGAGCAGACGGGUCCGGAGAUUCCCACGGCGGAGCAGAAGACCACCAGAGCCAGACAGCAAACCACCACGGUGGAGCAGA